rnacentral:lncRNA from 1 species
UAUGUGUGCGGCGCCGUGUUUAGCCAAGGCAACAAAACUAGACCUUGAUAGGUAGCCAGGAGGAUAGGGAGGGACUAACAAUGCCAGAGGGAAGUAGAUCCGUGUACAACAUCCGGCAUCACCCGAGUAGCGGACCGCUGCAGUUUCAUGGAGGUUUUUACAUACACCAAAAAUAUGGUUCAAGGCCCAUCGCCGACCAUCCUGCGUGCCCACCUUGGAAUGCCACGCCUCCGUCGCCUUGCAUAUUACGUCAAGUAGGGUCAUAACCGCCUCCCGUCUCAUGCUUCGCGCUCCUCACACUGGCCGUCCACACCCAUACCUCUCGCCACAUUACCAACCACAAACGCAAAAGCAAACUGCACCCAAUUUUUUGUUACAUUAUGUUUAUAAAUUAUCAUAGUUAGCAAAAAAUGUACUUUAUUUUGAUCACCCUACUCAAAAAAUGAGUGGAGUAUUUACGGUACAUGAUAAGCGAGGGUGAGGCGAGGUGCCGUUACGAGCCGUCUAGGCGGCGGCCGUGGCAGCUGCCGAGAUCCGGAUAUCAUGAGCAGGACAGGUGGCUCCCGCGAGCCUCGGGGACACUGUCGCUACACGCUCUCAGCGCACUUCUGCGUCUGACACGAGCGUCGCCAGCCGUGUGGAGGUGUAGAGGAGCAGGAGGGGCGAGGCUGCAGGUGUUGAGGCCAGCCAGGCCCUCUCUGCCCCGCCCUCACACCCUCGCCUUGCACGGGAACUCGGGAUGUCCGGAUCGACUCCGUUGGGAUUUCCGCGCAUCGUCCCUGACUGCAGCAGCGUAUUCGCACGUCGUCGGCAGGGCUGGAGUUAGUUGGUGAGGACCAGCGGAACCACGCACACGCCUUCAUCUGAACAGACUGUGUGUGUGUGUGUGUGUGGUGGGAGCACUGGCUGACGAUACACGCCAAUACUUGGUGAGGACACCGCGUCAACCGGAGCCCCAACAGCCCCGAAAUCAUCUCAAGAUAACCUCAAGAUAAUCAUCUCAAGAUAACCCUCAACAUUUGUGUCCCAUCAGAGAGAGUCUGGUCCUCUUCCUCAACCUGUAAGACACUCAGAAACAUCCAGGGAGCUUCAUCUUACCCAUUCCGCUGACCAUUCUCUAUUAGGCACUCAACCCACACCACCAGGACACACAGCAGAGGUCCAGGACCAACCCAACUGUCGCCAAUUCCUUAUAUUUUCAGCCAUAUUAUAAUGUCUUACUGUCUGUAUUCUCUAUUCCCUCCAUUCCUAAGGGCAUGUUAUGCUAUUAUUAUGACUUUCUCUUAGAUGAUGCACUAUAAUUUUUGAGUAAACUCGACUAUAAAUGCACAAACAUGUAUGAAUAAGGAUUGAAUUGGAAUGAAUUAACAGUAGCCACGAGUGGUGUUUUUUUAUUAUUAUUAUUUUCUACCACAGACGUGGCCACACAUUUACAAUGCUAACCAGCAUAUAUACAUUUUCUUCUGUCCUCCAUGGACAGGGCUAGAGAAGUGUUAAACAUAUAGUUCAAGGGUUUAUUGAACACUCAACCACAUAAGUGGUGUGUGUGUGUGUGAUGCAAGUCCGUGUGUAAGUCUGUGUGGUUAUGAACUAGAGAAGCUGGACAAUGGUGACCUUCUUGAGGUAAACUGUAAAUGGAACAAGUAUUUAAAGACGUGUGUGAGGUGCCUCCUCACUGACACUUGCUGCCUGAGGUGCCUCCUCACUGCCCCUUGCUGCCUGAGGUGCCUCCUCACUGACACUUGCUGCCUGAGGUGCCUCCUCACUGACACUUGCUGCCUGAGGUGCCUCCUCACUGACACUUGCUGCCUGAGGUGCCUCCUCACUGCCCCUUGCUGCCUGAGGUGCCUCCUCACUGACACUUGCUGCCUGAGGUGCCUCCUCACUGACACUUGCUGCCUGAGGUGCCUCCUCACUGACACUUGCUGCCUGAGGUGCCUCCUCACUGACACUUGCUGCCUGAGGUGCCUCCUCACUGACACUUGCUGCCUGAGGUGCCUCCUCACUGACACUUGCUGCCUGGCAUCACCUCCACAACUACACUUGACAAAAAGACAAAUAUAAUAAACUGAGAAACUUACAAUGUUCUGUACUUUUUUUAAGAACAUAAAUAACUUACGCUCGAAAAAUUUCACAAAAGAAUUAUGUGCUUUUUUUCUGCCGAAAUCACCCGUCCAGUCCCAGCCACUUUGGUUGGACGGUAGAGCGACGGUCUUGCUUCAUGCAGGUCGGCGUUCAAUCCCCGACCGUCCAAGUGGUUGGGCACCAUUCCUUCCCUCCGUCCCAUCCCAAAUCCUUAUCCUGACCCCUUGUCAAGUCGUAAUGGCUUGGCGCUUUCCCCUGAUAAUUAAAAAUUAACAUCACCCGUCCAGUACAUCAUCAUAAACUGCACUUAAAAAAUAUGUCCAUGUAAAAGGUAUAUCUUUUUAAAUUAAUUUAAUUAGAUGUUUUUAGAAUUGCAAUAAUUACUAUUGUUUCAUAUUGCAAUGGGCACUGCUGCUUUAUUAUACAAUAUACUGUAUAAUGUAUAUAUAUACUAAUCAGCUGUAGACCAUAAUUUGUUAUUUGUACCAACUUUAAUAUUAAAGUUAUUAUACAAUAAAUAAUUAUAUUGAUCAUUUUAAGGCUACUUUCAUUACAUUUUUCUUGUAUUAAUAAUAUUCUUGAAAUUGUACACACACACACACACACACACACACACACACACACACACACACACACACAGUUAUAAAUGUACAAUCAUGUAUUAAUAAAGUUACUUAUUGAUUGAUAUAAAAACCAAUCAUUUGUCCUUCACUAUUCACCGUGUAUCUUGAUCCACUGUUGUGAGAGUUAAGAUCUGGGAGAGCUUUAUUUUUUUUCUACCACAGACGUGGCCAUAAAUUUACAAUGCUAACCAGCCUAUAUACAUUUACUUCUGUCCUCCAUGGACAGGGUGAGAGAGCUGUUAAA